rnacentral:lncRNA from 1 species
CGACCCUGUGUAAUGCACAGAUGACAGAUCUAUUUCAAUAACAUGUGUGAAAGAAACACAUCAAAACUUCUUCAUCCCAAACUCCCAUUGACCAAACAUUAACCGCAAGUUAUUGGAAAAAAUGUUCCUGCCGUUCCGUCCAGACUCCAGACGUCUGAAUGCUAAGGAAUAUGUCGGAUAUCACUAGGUGGCUAAAAUUAUGUCUGCUAGAUGGCGCGAGUGUCUUCGUUACUCAAAACGAAAUUCCGCCAUUUUAUAACACUGAUUGACUGAUUGACACUGAUUGAAAACGUAUCGUUGGAUUGGAUACUUAAUACGCCGUACUUUUCUUUCUUGAAAUUUUUAUUCGUAAAAAUGGUAUUUAUCUGGUAGUAACAGCCUAUAAUUUCUACAUGGCAAAAUCGGGUGGCCUGAGCAGCUGAACAUUUUGCCAAAAUGUCGUCUCUUUUUUUCUGUACCAGCUCCACGUUUGUCAGAAACACUUCAGAACAAUUCGGGAUUAACACCCUGGUGGAGUUUGAGCUUCUUUGUUGCUGCCCAACUUUCACAUGGAUUUGACGCAGCCAGCUGAGGGCUUUAAUUCUUGUUUAGCGUUUAUGUUCGCGCAGUUGCUUUCCGAUGUGGCACGUUGCUGCAGCCUAUACUGGUGAAAGAUCUUUCUACAUCAAGUUCAAUUGGCCGUUCCUUGGUGCUGGUGUCGUGUUACCGAAGUUGCAUCAUUAUUUUGUUAAAUUGUCAUCGUU